UACGGAAGGCAGCAGUGGGGAAUAUUGCACAAUGGGCGAAAGCCUGAUGCAGCUAUGCCGCGUGUAUGAAGAAGGCCUUAGGGUUGUAAAGUACUUUCAUCGGGGAGGAAAAACAAAACUAAUAAUUUUAUUUCUUGACGUUACCCGAAAAAGAAGCACCGGCUAACUCCGUGCCAGCAGCCGCGGUAAUACGGAGGGUGCUAGCGUUAAUCAGAAUUACUGGGCGUAAAGAGCACGUAGGUGGUUUUUUUAAGUCAGAUGUGAAAUCCCUGGGCUUAACCCAGGAACUGCAUUUUGAAACUGAAAUACUAGAGUAUCGUAGAGGGAGGUAGAAUUCUAGGUGUAGCGGUGAAAUGCGUAGAUAUCUGGAGGAAUACCUGUGGCGAAAGCGGCCUCCUAAACGAAUACUGACACUGAGGUGCGAAAGCGUGGGGAGCAAACAGGGAUUAGAUACC
rnacentral:rRNA from 1 species